GUCUUUGUAGUAUAACUAUUACCUUGGUCUUGUAAACCAAAAACGGAGAACAUAAAAUCUCCCUAAGACU
rnacentral:tRNA from 1 species